UUGAAAGGGAAACGAUUGAAGUCAGUCGUACCUGCGGGUAAUCAGCCUUUUGGGCAUGAUUCUGUGGAGCGUGAGGAGUUAAACGCCUUCAUGCCUGCAUAUUCGUGUACUUUGGGUGUACUUGCCAGUGUGGUUAGUUAACAUCAAUUUUGGUUAUCAUAAAAUGGUUGGAGGAAUGUAGCUUCGAUUUCGAUUGAAGUGUUAUAGCCUUCGGCAGAUGUGAUGAUCGGGAUUGAGGAUUGCAACGGAUACCCUUCGGGGCUACCUGUCUGGUCUCUGAUCGUUGCUCUGGUGCCGAAAGCGUGCUUACGGUUAUCAAAGUCGAUGGUUAAUAGGUUAGAACGGGUUAAAUUCGUUAAGGAUGUUGACGUA
rnacentral:rRNA from 1 species